rnacentral:rRNA from 1 species
UGGAUGGAGAGUUUGAUCCUGGCUCAGAACGAACGCUGGCGGCGUGCUUAACACAUGCAAGUCUAGGGGAAUUCGCUUUCGGGCGAUAGUACACUGGCGAACGGGUGAGUAACGCGUGAGGAACCUACCCUGAAGAUUGGGACAACACAGAGAAAUUUGUGCUAAUACCGGAUAAGCCCACGUACUUAGUUGUGUGUGGGAAAAGACGGGGUAACCUGUCGCUUUGGGAUGGCCUCGCGUGCCAUUAGCUAGUUGGUAGGGUAAUGGCCUACCAAGGCUACGAUGGCUAGGCGGCCUGAGAGGGUGGCCGCCCACACUGGAACUGAGACACGGUCCAGACUCCUACGGGAGGCAGCAGUGGGGAAUUUUGCGCAAUGACCGAAAGGUUGACGCAGCAACGCCGCGUGUAUGAUGAAGGCUUUCGGGUCGUAAAGUACUUUCAGUGGGGAAGAAUGGCAUGAGGAGUAACUGCCUUGUGAUUGACGGUACCCACAGAAGCAGCCCCGGCUAACUCCGUGCCAGCAGCCGCGGUAAUACGGAGGGGGCAAGCGUUGUUCGGAGUCACUGGGCGUAAAGAGCUCGUAGGCGGCGAUGUAAGUCGGGAGUUAAAGGCAACAGCUCAACUGUUGUAGGGCUUCUGAAACUACAUUGCUAGAGUACCAGAGAGGUAUGCGGAAUUCCCUGUGUAGCGGUGAAAUGCGUAGAUAUAGGGAGGAACACCGGUUGCGAAGGCGGCAUACUGGCUGGUAACUGACGCUGAGGAGCGAAAGCGUGGGUAGCAAACAGGAUUAGAUACCCUGGUAGUCCACGCUGUAAACGAUGGAUGCUAGGUGUUGGAUGUAACCACAUUCAGUGCCGAAGCUAACGCAUUAAGCAUCCCGCCUGGGGAGUACGGUCGCAAGACUGAAACUCAAAGGAAUUGACGGGGGCCCGCACAAGCGGUGGAGCACGUGGUUUAAUUCGAUGCUAACCGCAGAACCUUACCCGGGUUUGACAUCUUCAAAAUACGAUAGAGAUAUUGUAGUGCUUACUUUCAGUAAGAAUUGAAUGACAGGUGCUGCAUGGCUGUCGUCAGCUCGUGCCGUGAGGUGUUGGGUUAAGUCCCGCAACGAGCGCAACCCCUGCUUUUAGUUGCCAUCGGGUCAAGCCGGGCACUCUAGAGGAACAGCCGUCGACAAGGCGGAGGAAGGUGGGGACGACGUCAAGUCAUCAUGGCCCUUAUGUCCGGGGCUACACACGUGCUACAAUGGCGUAUACAGAGGGCAGCGAGACAGUGAUGUUAAGCGAAUCCCAGAAAGUACGCCUCAGUUCAGAUUGUAGUCUGCAACUCGACUACAUGAAGUCGGAAUCGCUAGUAAUCGCAGGUCAGCAAAACUGCGGUGAAUACGUUCCCGGGCCUUGUACACACCGCCCGUCACACCACGGGAGUCGACCGUACCUGAAGCCGGUGGCCUAACCUUUUAGGAGGGAGCCGUCUAUGGUAUAGUUGGUAACUGGGGUGAAGUCGUAACAAGGUAGCCGUACCGGAAGGUGUGGCUGGAUCACCUCCUUU